rnacentral:rRNA from 1 species
CCGACCUGAGAGGGUGAUCGGCCACACUGGAACUGAGACACGGUCCAGACUCCUACGGGAGGCAGCAGUAGGGAAUCUUCCGCAAUGGGCGAAAGCCUGACGGAGCAACGCCGCGUGAGUGAUGAAGGUCUUCGGAUCGUAAAGCUCUGUUGUUAGGGAAGAACAAAUGUGUAAGUAACUGUGCACAUCUUGACGGUACCUAACCAGAAAGCCACGGCUAACUACGUGCCAGCAGCCGCGGUAAUACGUAGGUGGCAAGCGUUAUCCGGAAUUAUUGGGCGUAAAGCGCGCGUAGGCGGUUUUUUAAGUCUGAUGUGAAAGCCCACGGCUCAACCGUGGAGGGUCAUUGGAAACUGGAAAACUUGAGUGCAGAAGAGGAAAGUGGAAUUCCAUGUGUAGCGGUGAAAUGCGCAGAGAUAUGGAGGAACACCAGUGGCGAAGGCGGCUUUCUGGUCUGCAACUGACGCUGAUGUGCGAAAGCGUGGGGAUCAAACAGGAUUAGAUACCCUGGUAGUCCACGCCGUAAACGAUGAGUGCUAAGUGUUAGGGGGUUUCCGCCCCUUAGUGCUGCAGCUAACGCAUUAAGCACUCCGCCUGGGGAGUACGGUCGCAAGACUGAAACUCAAAGGAAUUGACGGGGACCCGCACAAGCGGUGGAGCAUGUGGUUUAAUUCGAAGCAACGCGAAGAACCUUACCAAAUCUUGACAUCCUUUGACCGCUCUAGAGAUAGAGUUUUCCUCUUCGGAGGACAAAGUGACAGGUGGUGCAUGGUUGUCGUCAGCUCGUGUCGUGAGAUGUUGGGUUAAGUCCCGCAACGAGCGCAACCCUUGAACUUAGUUGCCAUCAUUCAGUUGGGCACUCUAAGUUGACUGCCGGUGACAAACCGGAGGAAGGUGGGGAUGACGUCAAAUCAUCAUGCCCCUUAUGAUUUGGGCUACACACGUGCUACAAUGGACAAUACAAAGGGCAGCGAAACCGCGAGGUCAAGCAAAUCCCAUAAAGUUGUUCUCAGUUCGGAUUGUAGUCUGCAACUCGACUACAUGAAGCUGGAAUCGCUAGUAAUCGUAGAUCAGCAUGCUACGGUGAAUACGUUCCCGGGUCUUGUACACACCGCCCGUCACACCACGAGAGUUUGUAACACCCGAAGCCGGUGGAGUAACCAUUUUGGAGCUAGCCGUCGAAGGUGGGACAAAUGAUUGGGGUGAAGUCGUAACAAGGUAGCCGUAUCGGAAGGUGCGGCUGGAUCACCUCCUUUCUA